AAUCAACGCUGGCGGCGUGCCUCAGACAUGCAAGUCGAACGAUUAAAGCUCUCUUCGGAGAGUGUAUAGAGUGGCGCACGGGUGAGUAACACGUAAGUAAUCUACCUUUGAGUGGGGAAUAACGUCCGGAAACGGACGCUAAUACCGCAUAAUGCAGCGGCAUCGCAAGAUGACAGUUGUUAAAGAUUUAUCGCUUGAAGAGGAGCUUGCGGCAGAUUAGCUAGUUGGUAAGGUAAUGGCUUACCAAGGCUACGAUCUGUAACCGGUCUAAGAGGACGGUCGGUCACACUGACACUGAAUAACGGGUCAGACUCCUACGGGAGGCAGCAGUCGGGAAUUUUGGGCAAUGGGCGAAAGCCUGACCCAGCAACGCCGCGUGAAGGAUGAAGUAUUUCGGUAUGUAAACUUCGAAAGAAUAGGAAGAAUUAAUGACGGUACUAUUUAUAAGGUCCGGCUAACUACGUG
rnacentral:rRNA from 1 species